UCAGAUCUGCGCGAACCACGUAGGCCAAGUCUCCCAUUUUGGAUUCAAAACGGCGAUUUUGGCCGAAAGUGAGUCAGUGGGUGGCCAAGGUCCGAACCAUUGUUGUGUGGAUGAAAAGGUGCUCGAGGUGGUUCUCGGAGAGAAGCAAGAACUUCUAUACUUGCUCGGCUAACUGAGGAGGAUUUUAGGAAAGCUGAAGACUUCAUUAACCUGAUGAAGGUGCUCUACACCUCAACACUGUGUAUCCUCCGAAAAGAGUCCCACAUGCAGACAGAUUCUGCCUAUCCUCAAAAAGCUUGAGGCACACCUGGCUGUAAAAGAGGGAGACACAGUCUUUGUGUCAAACCUUAAAAAACAGGUUUGGGCAAACCUAUCCAAGCGCUACCAGAACAUGUGUUUUGCAGAAUGAUGAGAUCGGGAACUUUCUCCAAGUGGCCACUGCGUUGGAUCCACGCUUUAAACAUAAAUUGGAUGAUGACACCAUCUGCCUCUCUUGGGGCAGCCGUGGCCUACUGGUUAGCACUCUGGACUUGUAACCGGAGGGUUGCCGGUUCGAACCCCGACCAGUAGGCACGACUGAAGUGCCCUUGAGCAAGGCACCUAACCCCUCACUGCUCC